GUUUAUGAACAUAUUUACAGAACAAUCUUUUAACAAUACUUUGUGCAAUGUUGCAUAGUCAAAAAUAGUUAUUAAAUAUUUAGUGCCGUCAAAAAGGCUGUUUCUUUAACACACAAAAAAAUAACUUUUCCAGUGUAUAAUAAAAGUGCCCAUGGAAUUUAUCUGAAUAAAAAGGCGAUCCCGGCCAUGACACUGGACAGUCCAACCAAGGCCAAGAGGGCGUUCCUCGCUGUGGUCUGUGGGUCAGUUUUCUCAAAGAACUCCACAAAACCAUCCUGAAGACACCAUAAAGAUACAGUUGAUACGUUGAGGAUUUCCUCAGCGCAAAGUCACAUGACUUAGCAGCCAUGACUUACCCAAGAGUUGUGCACCACCAGCCACGUGCGAUGGUGUGACAGCAGAUAGUUGGAGAUCUCCCGGGCCACCUUCUCCACGCAGCAGGCUCGCCCGUUGUUCUUCAGGUACCGAGACACCACGGCGCCAAAGGCCACCAGGGUGGCAACGCGACCCCAGUUGGUGGUUCCGUCAGCAAACAGACUCUGGGCCACGUCCUGAAUGAAGGCCAUGUCGUCCCCUUUUUGGUCCAAUGACAGUUGGUUGAUGAUGCCUUCAAAGGAUCAAAAAAUUCUACUAUAACUUUCUGUUUGUGCUAACAUGAACAUACGUGCAUUCAAAAGAACGGAUUAACAGUUCAUAAACUAUAAUAUUUAAUGACUUAGUAUUCAUAAAUAUACAGGACGCUCAUCAUAACCGUCGCUAACGGAUCAGAUAACGUUUAAACGAUAAGUUAUGAACAUAAAACACAAACUUACCAUUGAAUUUAAACAUGUGCUUGUCCACCAACUCCACCACGACCUUCUGCAUUGUGGACUGAGCUUUACUUUGCAUCCACUCAGCCGUGGACAGCCCGGUAAAGUCAGUGAGACAACGGCCGAUGAGGCGCCUUGUGUCUCCUUCCAGGACGUCGUCCACCGCGGGGGUCUGGAGCUCCGGAGGACACAACAGGAUUCGGGAUGCAUCACCGCUGUAAGGGCGAUGACUUCCAUGGGGUGAGUCGCCCUGGAGCAUCACCUUCAGCCCGACAGGUCGCUGUUUCGGCGGGAUGCUGCGGUUAACGGCUCCAGUCGCGACAACCGGCACGGCGCUUUCUCCAACUGCACCUGAACGCAACAUUAAAGUGCCCGUAACUCCGCUCUUCUCCAUGUCUGUCUCAAUAAUCGCCAGCUGACGAGUGGGAAAUUCGGGUAAGGUUGCUAGCUUAAACCACACAAAGAUGGAAGUUUUCUUCAACGCGUCCGCUCACUGGCCGGCAAGUUUAACGAUCAAAGAUUCUCAGUUUCCAGCUUUAUAGUGAAUUGGCAUGGUGACGUCACUGAACUUCCGCUGCAGCUUCCGGGUUGUGUUCCCUCCAUCCAUUCAUUUCCUGUGUCGCUUGUCUUCAGUCUAUCCCAGCUGACUUUAAACGACUUGUCUCCAGGGGUUUCCCAACUUUAAGGAAAUAAAUAAUAAGUAAGUUACGUGUUUUUUGUAAAUUACGGUCAAGUCUUGUUAACACGCUGUGUGAGUACAGCCAUGUUCUUAGUGGUUUUUUAAUGUUAGCAUCUGUUAGCUUGUUCUUAAUGGGUUUUUAAUGUUAGCAUCUGUUAGCUCGCCACAACAUUGGGCUGUGUUGGACCUCACACUUCCUGGUUUUGUCACGUGGUCUCAUGUUUACCCUGACCUCCUGACAGUAUUAUACUGUAUUUGUGUUAUGUACAAGGUUUAUAGUGGAGGUCUUUUGUAUCGAUAUCAUUGAGAAAGAGUAUUUUCUUUGAAAAUGGUUAGUGGUUAGAUCAUCCAUGCAUACCCAACAGAUGGAUAAUGAUGACAGUGGAGAAAUGCACCAGUGCACAUGAUAUCCCGGUGACAGAAACAAGACAUCUUUGUUGAUGGAACAUAUACAGCAACACCAUGCGCUCGUACUCAUUUAUUAAAAUACAUUGUCAUGAUUUUUAGGGCGGGGAUAGAGAAUAGCAUCUUUCUUGUAGGCUAUGCCGUAUCUUCCCGCAUGUUUCAAUCCCAUAAGAACAUUUGGGGAUGGAUGGCAUGGAAGUUUCUAAAAACGGCUCUCGGUUCCAGGCUGUUGAUGCCCUUGGGGAAGCCAUUGUCACCACUUAGAAGCCUUAGCUCUUGCAUAUUGUAGCUCUACUUAAAAAAAAUAUAUACAUACAUAUUAUAUAUUACCAGCUAAUUUAGGAGUAUAUUGAUUUUUAAAUUGAACUUUAAUGUUUAUGGACUCCAGAAGUAUAGUUUCUAAAGAGAAUAUAUGCCGUACUCUACAGCACUCAUGUGGUGAUUGUUGGUAUUACAUACGGCCAAACUACUUUGUGCCAUUUUGCAUAGUCAAAAAUAGUUAUUAAAUAUUUAGUGCCGUCAUAUUUGUAACAGCCAGAGCUCAUGCCGCCCAUGUCCGUCCUUGUCAAGAGGAAGUGGCAAAAAUACUUAUAAUAAUAAAAUAAUGAAAAAUUUAUAAAAUAAAAUACUCGUGAGGAUGAGCGGUAGAAAAUGAAUAAAAUAAAAUACUCGUGAGGAUGAGCGGUAGAAAAUGAAUAAAAUAAUAUAAAAUAUAGUUUCUAGAGAGGGGCGUCACGGUGGUCUAGGGGUUAGCGCACAGACCUCACAGCUAGGGGACCAGGGUUCAAUUCCACCCUCGAGCAUCUCUGUGUGGAGUUUGCAUGUUCUCCCCGUGCAUGCGUGGGUUUUCUCCGGGUACUUCGGUUUCCUCCCACGUUCCAAAAACAUGCUAGGUUAAUUGGCUACUCCAAAUUGUCCAUAGGUAUGAAUGUGAGUGUGAAUGGUUGUUUGUCUAUGUGUGCCCUGUGAUUGGCUGGCGACCAGUCCAGGGUGUACCCCGCCUUACGCCCGAAGACAGCUGGGAUAGGCUCCAGCACCCCCCGCGACCCUCGUGAGGAAAAAGCGGUAGAAAAUGAAUGAAUGAAUAGUUUCUAAAGAACAUAUGCAGUACUGUACUGCGCUCAUGUGGUGAUUGUUGGUAUUACAUGCAGCCAAUCUAAAUACUGCUUUAUAAAUAUUAAUACAAUAAAAUAAAAUACUCGUGAGGAUGAGCGGUAGAAAAUAAAAUAAAAUAAAAUAAAAUAAAUCUCGUGAGGAUGAGCCUGACCCUAUUUUCUGUGAAAGGAAAGACAAAAACAAGAUUUUAAACUGUUUAUGAACAUAUUUACAGAACAAUCUUUUAACAAUACUUUGUGCAAUGUUGCAUAGUCAAAAAUAGUUAUUAAAUAUUUAGUGCCGUCAAAAAGGCUGUUUCUUUAACACACAAAAAAAUAACUUUUCCAGUGUAUAAUAAAAGUGCCCAUGGAAUUUAUCUGAAUAAAAAGGCGAUCCCGGCCAUGACACUGGACAGUCCAACCAAGGCCAAGAGGGCGUUCCUCGCUGUGGUCUGUGGGUCAGUUUUCUCAAAGAACUCCACAAAACCAUCCUGAAGACACCAUAAAGAUACAGUUGAUACGUUGAGGAUUUCCUCAGCGCAAAGUCACAUGACUUAGCAGCCAUGACUUACCCAAGAGUUGUGCACCACCAGCCACGUGCGAUGGUGUGACAGCAGAUAGUUGGAGAUCUCCCGGGCCACCUUCUCCACGCAGCAGGCUCGCCCGUUGUUCUUCAGGUACCGAGACACCACGGCGCCAAAGGCCACCAGGGUGGCAACGCGACCCCAGUUGGUGGUUCCGUCAGCAAACAGACUCUGGGCCACGUCCUGAAUGAAGGCCAUGUCGUCCCCUUUUUGGUCCAAUGACAGUUGGUUGAUGAUGCCUUCAAAGGAUCAAAAAAUUCUACUAUAACUUUCUGUUUGUGCUAACAUGAACAUACGUGCAUUCAAAAGAACGGAUUAACAGUUCAUAAACUAUAAUAUUUAAUGACUUAGUAUUCAUAAAUAUACAGGACGCUCAUCAUAACCGUCGCUAACGGAUCAAAUAACGUUUAAACGAUAAGUUAUGAACAUAAAACACAAACUUACCAUUGAAUUUAAACAUGUGCUUGUCCACCAACUCCACCACGACCUUCUGCAUUGUGGACUGAGCUUUACUUUGCAUCCACUCAGCCGUGGACAGCCCGGUAAAGUCAGUGAGACAACGGCCGAUGAGGCGCCUUGUGUCUCCUUCCAGGACGUCGUCCACCGCGGGGGUCUGGAGCUCCGGAGGACACAACAGGAUUCGGGAUGCAUCACCGCUGUAAGGGCGAUGACUUCCAUGGGGUGAGUCGCCCUGGAGCAUCACCUUCAGCCCGACAGGUCGCUGUUUCGGCGGGAUGCUGCGGUUAACGGCUCCAGUCGCGACAACCGGCACGGCGCUUUCUCCAACUGCACCUGAACGCAACAUUAAAGUGCCCGUAACUCCGCUCUUCUCCAUGUCUGUCUCAAUAAUCGCCAGCUGACGAGUGGGAAAUUCGGGUAAGGUUGCUAGCUUAAACCACACAAAGAUGGAAGUUUUCUUCAACGCGUCCGCUCACUGGCCGGCAAGUUUAACGAUCAAAGAUGCUCAGUUUCCAGCUUUAUAGUGAAUUGGCAUGGUGACGUCACUGAACUUCCGCUGCAGCUUCCGGGUUGUGUUCCCUCCAUCCAUUCAUUUCCUGUGUCGCUUGUCUUCAGUCUAUCCCAGCUGACUUUAAACGACUUGUCGCCAGGGGUUUCCCAACUUUAAGGAAAUAAAUAAUAACCGUGGACAGCCCGGUAAAGUCAGUGAGACAACGGCCGAUGAGGCGCCUUGUGUCUCCUUCCAGGACGUCGUCCACCGCGGGGGUCUGGAGCUCCGGAGGACACAACAGGAUUCGGGAUGCAUCACCGCUGUAAGGGCGAUGACUUCCAUGGGGUGAGUCGCCCUGGAGCAUCACCUUCAGCCCGACAGGUCGCUGUUUCGGCGGGAUGCUGCGGUUAACGGCUCCAGUCGCGACAACCGGCACGGCGCUUUCUCCAACUGCACCUGAACGCAACAUUAAAGUGCCCGUAACUCCGCUCUUCUCCAUGUCUGUCUCAAUAAUCGCCAGCUGACGAGUGGGAAAUUCGGGUAAGGUUGCUAGCUUAAACCACACAAAGAUGGAAGUUUUCUUCAACGCGUCCGCUCACUGGCCGGCAAGUUUAACGAUCAAAGAUGCUCAGUUUCCAGCUUUAUAGCGAAUUGGCAUGGUGACGUCACUGAACUUCCGCUGCAGCUUCCGGGUUGUGUUCCCUCCAUCCAUUCAUUUCCUGUGUCGCUUGUCUUCAGUCUAUCCCAGCUGACUUUAAACGACUUGUCGCCAGGGGUUUCCCAACUUUAAGGAAAUAAAUAAUAACCGUGGACAGCCCGGUAAAGUCAGUGAGACAACGGCCGAUGAGGCGCCUUGUGUCUCCUUCCAGGACGUCGUCCACCGCGGGGGUCUGGAGCUCCGGAGGACACAACAGGAUUCGGGAUGCAUCACCGCUGUAAGGGCGAUGACUUCCAUGGGGUGAGUCGCCCUGGAGCAUCACCUUCAGCCCGACAGGUCGCUGUUUCGGCGGGAUGCUGCGGUUAACGGCUCCAGUCGCGACAACCGGCACGGCGCUUUCUCCAACUGCACCUGAACGCAACAUUAAAGUGCCCGUAACUCCGCUCUUCUCCAUGUCUGUCUCAAUAAUCGCCAGCUGACGAGUGGGAAAUUCGGGUAAGGUUGCUAGCUUAAACCACACAAAGAUGGAAGUUUUCUUCAACGCGUCCGCUCACUGGCCGGCAAGUUUAACGAUCAAAGAUGCUCAGUUUCCAGCUUUAUAGUGAAUUGGCAUGGUGACGUCACUGAACUUCCGCUGCAGCUUCCGGGUUGUGUUCCCUCCAUCCAUUCAUUUCCUGUGUCGCUUGUCUUCAGUCUAUCCCAGCUGACUUUAAACGACUUGUCGCCAGGGGUUUCCCAACUUUAAGGAAAUAAAUAAUAAGUAAGUUACGUGUUUUUUGUAAAUUACGGUCAAGUCUUGUUAACACGCUGUGUGAGUACAGCCAUGUUCUUAGUGGUUUUUUAAUGUUAGCAUCUGUUAGCUUGUUCUUAAUGGGUUUUUAAUGUUAGCAUCUGUUAGCUCGCCACAACAUUGGGCUGUGUUGGACCUCACACUUCCUGGUUUUGUCACGUGGUCUCAUGUUUACCCUGACCUCCUGACAGUAUUAUAUUCUGUAUUUGUGUUAUGUACAAGGUUUAUAGUGGAGGUCUUUUGUAUCGAUAUCAUUGAGAAAGAGUAUUUUCUUUGAAAAUGGUUAGUGGUUAGAUCACCCAACAGAUGGAUAAUGAUGACAGUGGAGAAAUGCACCAGUGCACAUGAUAUCCCGGUGACAGAAACAAGACAUCUUUGUUGAUGGAACAUAUACAGCAACACCAUGCGCUCGUACUCAUUUAUUAAAAUACAUUGUCAUGAUUUUUAGGGCGGGGAUAGAGAAUAGCAUCUUUCUUGUAGGCUAUGCCGUAUCUUCCCGCAUGUUUCAAUCCCAUAAGAACAUUUGGGGAUGGAUGGCAUGGAAGUUUCUAAAAAUGGCUCUCGGUUCCAGGCUGUUGAUGUCCUUGGGGAAGCCAUUGUCACCACUUAGAAGCCUUUACUUUUGCAUAUUGUAGCUCUACUUAAAAAAAAAUAUAUAUACAUAUUAUAUAUUACCAGCUAAUUUAGGAGUAUAUUGAUUUUUAAAUUGAACUUUAAGGUUUAUGGACUCAUGUGGUGAUUGUUGGUAUUACAUAAGGCCAAACUACUUUGUGCCAUUUUGCAUAGUCAAAAAUAGUUAUUAAAUAUUUAGUGCCGUCAUAUCUGUAACAGCCAGAGCUCAUGCCGCCCAUGUCCGUCCUUGUCA